rnacentral:rRNA from 1 species
UCGAGAAUUUUUCUCAAUGGGGGCAACCCUGAAGGAGCGACGCCGCGUGGAGGAUGAAGGCUUUCGGGUUGUAAACUCCUGUCAUUUGAGAACAAGGGUGAGCAAGUAACUACUGCUCACUUGAUAGUAUCAGAAGAGGAAGAGACGGCUAACUCUGUGCCAGCAGCCGCGGUAAUACAGAGGUCUCAAGCGUUGUUCGGAUUCAUUGGGCGUAAAGGGUGCGUAGGUGGCGUCGUAAGUGGGGUGUGAAAUCCCGAGGCUUAACCUCGGGACUGCAUUCCAUACUGCGGUGCUUGAGGACUGGAGAGGAGACUGGAAUUUACGGUGUAGCAGUGAAAUGCGUAGAGAUCGUAAGGAAGACCAGUGGCGAAGGCGGGUCUCUGGACAGUUCCUGACACUGAGGCACGAAGGCCAGGGGAGCAAACGGGAUUAGAUACCCCCGUAGUCC